UUACGGGAGGCAGCAGUGGGGAAUAUUGGACAAUGGGCGAAAGCCUGAUCCAGCAAUGCCGCGUGGGUGAAGAAGGUCUUCGGAUUGUAAAGCCCUUUCGACGGGGACGAUGAUGACGGUACCCGUAGAAGAAGCCCCGGCUAACUUCGUGCCAGCAGCCGCGGUAAUACGAAGGGGGCUAGCGUUGCUCGGAUUGACUGGGCGUAAAGGGCGCGUAGGCGGUUCGUACAGUCAGACGUGAAAUUCCUGGGCUCAACCUGGGGGCUGCGUUUGAUACGUGCGGACUUGAGUGCGGAAGAGGGUCGUGGAAUUCCCAGUGUAGAGGUGAAAUUCGUAGAUAUUGGGAAGAACACCGGUGGCGAAGGCGGCGACCUGGUCCGAUACUGACGCUGAGGCGCGAAAGCGUGGGGAGCAAACAGGAUUAGAUACCCCGGUAGC
rnacentral:rRNA from 1 species